rnacentral:rRNA from 1 species
ACGAACGCUGGCGGCGUGCUUCACACCUGCCAGUCGAACGGAAAGGCCCUGCUUUUGUGGGGUGCUCGAGUGGCGAACGGGUGAGUAACACGUGAGUAACCUGCCCUUGACUUUGGGAUAACUUCAGGAAACUGGGGCUAAUACCGGAUAGGAGCUCCUGCUGCAUGGUGGGGGUUGGAAAGUUUCGGCGGUUGGGGAUGGACUCGCGGCUUAUCAGCUUGUUGGUGGGGUAGUGGCUUACCAAGGCUUUGACGGGUAGCCGGCCUGAGAGGGUGACCGGCCACAUUGAGACUGAGAUACGGCCCAGACUCCUACGGGAGGCAGCAGUGGGGAAUAUUGCACAAUGGGCGGAAGCCUGAUGCAGCAACGCCGCGUGCGGGAUGACGGCCUUCGGGUUGUAAACCGCUUUCGCCUGUGACGAAGCGUGAGUGACGGUAAUGGGUAAAGAAGCACCGGCUAACUACGUG